rnacentral:rRNA from 1 species
GACGAACGCUGGCGGCGUGCCUAAUACAUGCAAGUAGAACGCUGAAGAGAGGAGCUUGCUCUUCUUGGAUGAGUUGCGAACGGGUGAGUAACGCGUAGGUAACCUGCCUUGUAGCGGGGGAUAACUAUUGGAAACGAUAGCUAAUACCGCAUAACAAUGGAUGACACGUGUCAUUUAUUUGAAAGGGGCAAUUGUUCCACUACAAGAUGGACCUGCGUUGUAUUAGCUAGUAGGUGAGGUAAUGGCUCACCUAGGCGACGAUACAUAGCCGACCUGAGAGGGUGAUCGGCCACACUGGGACUGAGACACGGGCCCAGACUCCUACGGGAGGCAGCAGUAGGGAAUCUUCGGGCAAUGGGGGCAACCCUGACCGAGCAACGCCGCGUGGGUGAUGAAGGCCCUAGGGUUGUAAAGCCCUUUCGGGCGGGGAAGAUAAUGACGGUACCCGCAGAAGAAGCCUCGGCUAACUACGUGCUAGCCGCCCCCGUAAAU